AACGCUAGCUACAGGCUUAACACAUGCAAGUCGAGGGGCAGCAUCAUCAAAGCUUGCUUUGAUGGAUGGCGACCGGCGCACGGGUGAGUAACACGUAUCCAACCUGCCGACAACACUGGGAUAGCCUUUCGAAAGAAAGAUUAAUACCGGAUGGCAUAGUUUUCCCGCAUGGGAUAAUUAUUAAAGAAUUUCGGUUGUCGAUGGGGAUGCGUUCCAUUAGGCAGUUGGCGGGGUAACGGCCCACCAAACCGACGAUGGAUAGGGGUUCUGAGAGGAAGGUCCCCCACAUUGGAACUGAGACACGGUCCAAACUCCUACGGGAGGCAGCAGUGAGGAAUAUUGGUCAAUGGACGAGAGUCUGAACCAGCCAAGUAGCGUGAAGGAUGACUGCCCUAUGGGUUGUAAACUUCUUUUAUACGGGAAUAAAGUUAGCCACGUGUGGCUUUUUGUAUGUACCGUAUGAAUAAGGAUCGGCUAACUCCGUGCCAGCAGCCGCGGUAAUACGGAGGAUCCGAGCGUUAUCCGGAUUUAUUGGGUUUAAAGGGAGCGUAGGCGGGUUGUUAAGUCAGUUGUGAAAGUUUGCGGCUCAACCGUAAAAUUGCAGUUGAAACUGCCGUUCUUGAGUGUGCGCAGGGAUGUUGGAAUUCGUGGUGUAGCGGUGAAAUGCUUAGAUAUCACGAAGAACUCCGAUUG
rnacentral:rRNA from 1 species